rfam:Felis catus isolate Cinnamon breed Abyssinian chromosome E2, whole genome shotgun sequence.
GCCUGGCUGGCUCAGUUGGUAGAGCAUGCGACCCUUGAUCUUGGAGUUGUGAGUUCAAGCCCCACGUUGGGUG